UUUUUUUUAUUUUUUUAUUUUUUAAUUUUUUUUAAUUGGUUGUUCAAAACAUUAUAAAGCUCUUGACAUAUCAUAUUUCAUACAUUAGAUUCAAGUUGGUUAUGAACUCCCAAUUUUACCCCAAAUACAGAUUGCAGAAUCACAUCGGUUACACAUCCACAUUUUUACAUAAUGCCCUAUUAGUAACUGUUGUAUUCUGCUACCUUUCCUAUCCUCUACCAUCCCCCCUCCCUCCCCUCCCAUCUUCUCUCUCUACCCCAUCCACUGUAAUUCAUAUCUCUCCUUGUUUAUUUUCCCAUUCCCCUCACAACCUCUUAUAUGUAAUUUUGUAUAACAAUGAGGGUCUCCCUCCAUUACCAUGCAAUUUCCCUUUUCUCUCCCUUUCCAUCCCACCUCAUGUAUCUGUUUAAUGUUAAUCUUUUCUUCCUGCUCUUCCUCCCUGCUCUGUUCUUAGUUGCUCUCAUUAUAUCAAAGAAGACAUUUGGUAUUUGNGAAUGGAGGACAUGGAACAGUUAAAGAAGGCUUCUAUGAAGAGGUGUCUUGAAGGAUGAGGAACUGGCCAUAAGAACAGUGUCCUAGGGCAAAUGAUUCUAUCAAGGCCUGGAAGAGGGUUGUGUAGCUGCCAUGUAGUGUGUGAGGGUGAGUAGAGCAAGGUGGGGGGUAGGGUUUUGCAUUCAGGACUGAGGUGAUGGUAGUUUGGAUUUUAGUUGAAAUGCAUUGGAAAAUCAGUGAAGUUUAAACAAAGUAGUAAUGUGAUUAGAUUUUCCUUCUACUUUCAAAAUGGGGGGCAUGAGAAGACCACAAAACUGGAGGCAGGAGAUGGCCAUCCAGGCAAGAGGUAAUGAUUUAUAGACUGAGCUCCACAUUUGAAGGAGUAGUAGUUGUAAUUGCCAGUUUCUUGUUGAGAGUUACCAUUUGGGGUAUGUCAGGUAGUCACUUAAUGGUGCCAUUCUGGGUCUGAAUAAAGAGGUCUGGGUUUAAAAUAUAAAUUUAGAAACCUUUGGCUUUUCAGAAGUUAUAAAAUUGAGGUCAUUGGAGGAGACAGUAUGGAAAGAGGGCUCAGGUGAAUUCCAACAUUAAAAGAUUAGGUAGAGUGUUUUUAAAGGCCAAAGAAUUUGAAGCGAUCUAUGUUCAUAGAUUGUUUUAAAGGGCAAGUGGGUUAAGAUCCCAAACCAGGCUUAGCACAACUUUCCCUAGAAGAGGAAAAUGUCAUGCAUUACUUACUCUUUCCUGGUGGUCACUCUUUUUUCACUUUGUGCCUGAUGUGUCACAUAUGACAUCAAGUUACCUGCACUUUUGAAGUGAUGUCUUAUGUGGACUGAACUACAUUCAGUGACCUGCAGGGCUGAAUUGUAACCAGGACCGGUUCACCUGUACUUUUCUGCUCAACUUUUACUCUGUAAAACUCAUUGCGUAAAAAAAAAAAAGGAAACUCAUACUGUAAUUGUGUAGUUGUGAAUUCAGUAGACAUUUCAAACUUAGGAUUUCCCUUAAAAUCUGUUUUUCAGACUUGUGUACAUUAAAAAAAAUCAUUUAUCUAAAAUACCUUUAAUGCUUCUCAUCAUUUAUGGAGGCCAUCAGGCAAAAGUUGGAUAUAUUUUUAAAUGUUUCAAAUCUGCCUCCAAGGAGUUAAAAAAUUUUUUCUAGGAAUGAUAGAUGUUUGCACCCUCAGGUUGUGUAUUUUCUGUAGGGUUGACUUGGCCCUUGCAGUGUUUUCACCUGUUCAGCUUCCAACUUGUGCUCUCUCUGGCUUACAGAUAAGUUCCACAUCACACUGCAGAACUGGCAAGCAGUAUGGGAGCAGUGUACUGAGAAGGGCACAGCCAGUCUUUAGAAAGCAGAAUGGCUAAAAGGGAAAUGUGGACAUGAUGCCGCCUAAGAGAAAAAGCUAGAACAAAUGAAUGUUUUUCUCUAGAAUUAGUUGAAAGUAACCUCUGAGGUGGGGGUUGCAGAGUUUUUUUAUUUUAGUGUUCUUGCUUUCCUAAGCUAAGUUAAAAAAUUUUUUAACUUUUAUCCUUUUUCUGCAGCUGAAAAUAAUGAUGGUAUCCACAUAAUUUUGAAGUGAUGUCUUAUGUAGACUGAACUAUAUCCAGUACCAAAUAAAGUCACGCUAAAAGUGUGUGAAGACUGAAUCCAAGAAGUCUUGGGAUUGGAUUUUACUAUAUGAAAUGUUUCAUAUUGAAAACACAGAUGACCUUUCUAAUGAGUUGUAUGAGAGGCAAAUCUCACUGUCACUGCCAUAGCCAAGCAUCCUCGUGAGAGUGAGCACGUUGGGACAGCGUGCAUCCAGCUCUGGAGGCCGUGGGGCAGGCGUGGCUACCUGCUUCUCUGGCAGAGGCCAGUAGAUACAGCUCCCAGAAGUAGCCCUUGGGCUUUUUACACUGUAUGCGGUUUGGAAAUGAAUGUAAAACUUAACCAUGGGCAUUUACCUAUCUGUGCCAGUUUGGUUUCUAUUGCCUGAACCUUAUGCUGACCUGGGGAGGAGAUGGGGGACAGUGCUAUUGUGGAGCCAGAAAGGAUUCCUUCAGCAGAGAGAUGGACUGUGCUGAUGUGGUGAUGGUCAGGUAAGAGGCUUGGCACCUUCUCAGAAGAAAUCAUGUCUAAGGGUAUAGGUUUGAAAUGAUCAUGCCAGACUGGAGAGGAUCCAAGCCAGGAAGAUGGGCUUGAAGCAAACUGCAUUAUCAGGAGUACCUUGGUGAGAGGAUCAGUGUAAAUCCUAAUAGGUACAAAGACUUGUGUUUUUGCUUAAAGUGUCUAAAUAACUUAUUGAAAAAACGA
rnacentral:lncRNA from 1 species